CAAUUCUUAUCAAACAACAGUUGACGACACUUCUAGUCGUUACUCGUUAAUCGUUACUCGUUGCGCAACCUGUAUAUCUAUUAUCUUUGAUUAUGGUCUUAGAAAAUCUUCUGAGGCCGUGUCUUUCAUCGUGCCUAGUACAACUACAUACCUUCUGAGUUCUGUUCUGACCCUCUCAAUGUCUCAAUUCCCACUUAUUGAUACUCUAGACUUAUAAAAAAAAAACACUUUACAAAGCCUCUCCAAUGUUAAGAGAAUCAUAGGAUCAAAGCAACUUUUGUUUUUACUUAAUUGAAUAGUUUAAUAUUAUAUAUUUCAAAUUAAAAGUUUUAAGUUGAAUAAACACUUCAAAUUCGCAAAUACCUUAUAGGUAUUUUUAUUAGAAUAUUUUGUUCUCUAACUUGUUUCUAAUUCAGUUAACAUGACAAUAAUAUAUUAAUAAGUCAGUCAAUCGUUUUUGAUGCAAAUUUGAUCAUUUUUAACCAUAUUUCUUGCAGAUGGCUGAUAAGUAGUAAUAUACAAUUAAGGUUGAGUCUAACUGUUGUGUAGUAAAUAUUUGAUUAUUAUUUGUCACACAUUUGAAUAAAAUUAUAGAAACACCGAGGACAAGUUUCAUUGUUCAAAUGGACUGUGUAUUGAAUUGUUGCGGGUUUGUGAUGGUCAUAAGGAUUGUUCAGAUGGUUCAGACGAGACAAAAGCUUUAUGUGCUCUAUUGCCUCUUCACGAUUAUGGAACAAAUAUGACCAUAGGUAGUUGUGGUAGAGCAUAUGUUGAAAAAAACGUAUUGUUUCCCAAUGUCAAAAAAAAUAAUGUAGGAACGGCACCUUGGUAUGUUGCAAUAUAUAAAUUAAUGGA